rnacentral:rRNA from 1 species
GUAGAUAUUAGUAGGAACACCAAUGGCGUAGGCAGGUGACUGGACCAUUCUGACGCUAAGGCACGAAAGCGUGGGGAGCGAACCGGAUUAGAUACCCGGGUAGUCCACGCCGUAAACGAUGGAUGUUAAAUGUCGGGGGUAUCGACCCCUUCGGUAUUAAAGCUAACGCGUUAAACAUCCCGCCUGUGGAGUACGGCCGCAAGGCUAAAACAUAAAGGAAUUGACGGGGACCCGCACAAGCGGUGGAGCGUGUUCUUUAAUUCGAGGCUAAACGAAGAACCUUACCCAGGCUUGACAUCCCGAGAAUUUCUCCGAAAGGAGAGAGUGCUUUAUUGAACUCGGUGACAGAUCUUGCAUGGCCGUCGUCAGCUCGUGUCGUGAGAUGUUUGGUUAAGUCCAUCAACGAGCGCAACCCUUGCGGACAGUUGUAUUUUUCUGUUCGGACUGCCCCGGUAACGGGGAGGAAGGAGGGGAUGAUGUCAGGUCAGUAUUAGUCUUACGUCUGGGGCUAGAAACGCGCUACAAUGGCCGGUACAACGGGCAGCGAAACAGUAAUGUGAAGCAAAUCCCAUCAAAACCGGUCCCAGUUCGGAUAGAGGGCUGAAACUCGCCCUCUUGAAGUCGGAAUCGCUAGUAAUCGCAGAUCAGCACGCUGCGGUGAAUACGUUCCCGGGUCUUGUACACACCGCCCGUCAAACCAUGAAAGUCAGGAGCACCCGACGUCCAAAUUUAUUUUGGCCUAAGGUGAGCUUGGUGAUUGGGGUUAAGUCGUAACAAGGUAGCCGUAAAUCGA